CAUCGUUCUAUCCUUGUGCAGUCUCACAUUCGUGUGCUGGAAAAUCCUGGAGAGAACAUAGCUGCUUUGCUCAUGGGUGUUGAAUAUCUUACCAAAAUUUCAUAUGUGGAUGACACAGAAGUUUUCAAGGUUUGCUUAGACUUUUGGAAUUCGUUUGUGUUGGAACUAUUUGAGGCACACCACAGUUUGGAUAAUCCUGCUAUAACGGCAAACAUGAUGGGGUUGCAGGUAUUGUGAAUAUGUUAACUUUAAGAUGAUAUUAUAUAGUUUUUGGUGUGAUUGUAAUAUGGUUGCACUUGCACAUAUCAUCUUUUUCCUCUUGCACUUUACUGUUUUACUUUUGUAUAUUGUUUACUUUCAGAUGAUAUUUUAUAGUUUUUGGUGUGAUUGUUUUAUUUUCAUAUGGUUGCACUUGCACAUAUCAUCUUUUUCCUCUUGCAGUUUACUGUUUACUUUUGUAUAUCGGAUACAAAAUUAGUUGAUUUGUUUCUUAUUUCUGUGUUUUCCAUGAUAUAUAUGUAAUUUUCAUUUCAAUUUGUGUUUUCCAUAAAUAUUGUCUUUUGAACCUUCAGAGCAGUUGGGUUUCUUUUCUUUUCCUUUUUGUAGUCUAAAUGGUUGGAGAUAGUAAUAUAUAAUUUCUUUAGUUUUGUGACAUCAAAUAUUUUGUGACCUGUAAUCUCUGUUCUUGAAUUAUGUCGAACCUUUUCUUAUUAAGGAAAUUGUCUUUCCAUCUCCUCUUUGUUUGCGUGAUUCUUUUUUAUUUAUAUGUUAUUUGUUUUUUCGAAAUUUGUAAUGGGACAGAUACUUAUUUUAGCCUGUGGUUUUAUACUGAAUAAGCAGAUGCCUUUGCUACCUGGUAUGGUUGAUGGCCUUGGAUCACAACUGAUGCAGCAGCGACAAUUAUAUGCUGAGCCAAUGUCAAAGUUAAGAAUGAUUAUGAUUUUUCGUAUGGCCAAGCCAGAAGAGGUUCUCAUAGUGGAAGAUGAAAAUGGCAAUAUUGUUCGUGAAACCAUGAAGGACAAUGAUGUUCUCGUGCAAUAUAAGAUCAUGAGGGAGACUUUGAUAUUUAGAGAGCUUCGGAUGGCAACAAACAACUUCAGCAGCAAGUACUUGGUUGGAUGAUGAAUUGAAGGAUGGAGCAAGUUUUAUGCAUGAUUUACUUUUGUGUAUCUUGUAAUGUUUCUGUUUUUCAUUUUAAAAUAAAAAAUGUUCAAGAUUAUAAAACUUUAUUAUGUUAUGCUUUCAAAUUUAAGUUAGAACUAAGA